AUCUUACGAUCACAUAAAACUCUCAAUAACGGUUUUAAAUAAUGGUGAAAAAUAAAGGAUAUUUUCAAUUUAUUAUUUUCCUUAUUCUUGUUAGGAUAGGUGGAAAAUAAAGAGGGAAAGCAAAAUAUAGUUAUUUUCCCUUGUUUGGGAAGACAUAAAGUGAAAAGAAAAUAAUUAUAUUUUCAUGGAUUUCUCAUUAUGCCCUUACUUUUUUUCUUAUUUUUUAUAUAGGGGUAUACAUGUAAUUUCAAAAUAAAAGUAAACCUUCCAUAAAUUUCUUUCUUAUUCUCUCCAAAUUGGGGAGAAAAUAUAUAAUAGGAAAAUAAAGGUUAUUUUCCCUCUUUUAUUUUCUCCUCUAUUUCCAAA
rnacentral:misc_RNA from 1 species